UACGGAGGAUGCAAGCGUUAUCCGGAAUGAUUGGGCGUAAAGCGUCCGCAGGCGGCUAUGUAAGUCUGCUGUUAAAGAGCAAAGCUUAACUUUGUAAAAGCAGUGGAAACUACAUAGCUAGAGUGCGUUCGGGGCAGAGGGAAUUCCUGGUGUAGCGGUGAAAUGCGUAGAGAUCAGGAAGAACACCGGUGGCGAAGGCGCUCUGCUAGGCCGCAACUGACACUGAGGGACGAAAGCUAGGGGAGCGAAUGGG
rnacentral:rRNA from 1 species